rnacentral:tRNA from 1 species
AACAAAAUUACACAGGUCUUCUAAAUCUGUUAUGGAUUCUUAAUCCUUUUGUUU